rnacentral:rRNA from 1 species
AGAGUUUGAUCCUGGCUCAGGAUGAACGCUGGCGGCGUGCUUAACACAUGCAGUCGAACGAUGAUCUCCAGCUUGCUGGGGGGAUUAGUGGCGAACGGGUGAGUAACACGUGAGUAACCUGCCCUUGACUCUGGGAUAAGCCUGGGAAACUGGGUCUAAUACCGGAUAUGACCAUUCCGCGCAUGCGGUGGUGGUGGAAAGCUUUUGCGGUUUUGGAUGGACUCGCGGCCUAUCAGCUUGUUGGUGGGGUAAUGGCCUACCAAGGCGACGACGGGUAGCCGGCCUGAGAGGGUGACCGGCCACACUGGGACUGAGACACGGCCCAGACUCCUACGGGAGGCAGCAGUGGGGAAUAUUGCACAAUGGGCGCAAGCCUGAUGCAGCGACGCCGCGUGAGGGAUGACGGCCUUCGGGUUGUAAACCUCUUUCAGUAGGGAAGAAGCCGCAAGGUGACGGUACCUGCAGAAGAAGCGCCGGCUAACUACGUGCCAGCAGCCGCGGUAAUACGUAGGGCGCAAGCGUUAUCCGGAAUUAUUGGGCGUAAAGAGCUCGUAGGCGGUUUGUCGCGUCUGCUGUGAAAGACCGGGGCUCAACUCCGGUUCUGCAGUGGGUACGGGCAGACUAGAGUGAUGUAGGGGAGACUGGAAUUCCUGGUGUAGCGGUGAAAUGCGCAGAUAUCAGGAGGAACACCGAUGGCGAAGGCAGGUCUCUGGGCAUUAACUGACGCUGAGGAGCGAAAGCAUGGGGAGCGAACAGGAUUAGAUACCCUGGUAGUCCAUGCCGUAAACGUUGGGCACUAGGUGUGGGGGACAUUCCACGUUUUCCGCGCCGUAGCUAACGCAUUAAGUGCCCCGCCUGGGGAGUACGGCCGCAAGGCUAAAACUCAAAGGAAUUGACGG